UGUGUGUGGUGUGUGUGUGUGUGUGUGUGUGUGUGUGUGUGUGUGUGUUUGUGUGUACACACAGACACACACACACACACACACACACACAUACAUACAUACAUAUAUAUAUAUAUAUAUAUAUAUAUAUAUAUAUAUAUAUAUAUAUAUAUAUAUAUACAUAUAUAUAUAUACAUACAU